AGGGCGUCAUUCUCUUCCGUGCUGUAUUCUGCCUGGGCCUGGAGUUGUGGGAGGCUGCUGGGAGGGCACUGCCAGCCAGUUGGCGCCUGCGGGCAGCUGCAGGCUCUUCCCGGCCGUGUAGUGUAGGUGGCCGCGCGUGGUGGCCCGCGGGGCUUUGAGUGGGCGGGGCCCUACACCAGCGAUAGCUUUAAGGGGAGGAGUACUCGUCAGGGACAACACUGUGCGGGUUAAUUUGGGAAGUGAUGGUUAAAGGUCAUGGCUUGAGUCUCACUUGUGUUGUUAAUUUUGAUGGGGGUAGAGAUGGAAGCUGCUCCAGUUAACAGUGAGUUCUCAGGCUGGAGAGGUAAAGACACUUGAAUUGUAGGUACUGAUUUUGUUCCGCUUUGGGGGCUUUAUUUUGGUCCCGUGUGCUUCCGUUUGAGCAGUCGGUGGUGGAAUUACUAAUUUUUAAGAGCAUCAGAGUUACUUGAAAACGAUGGUGAAGGGAGCCGAAUGAGAGGAAAAGGGAGGAAUUCCUUUUUUACCUCGAGGAGUUUCGUUUCUAGAUCGUGGCAAAAGAGAAGGAAAACAAAUCAAGGUGAACUGAAGAAAAUGAGCCUUUCCCCAGAGGAGAUAGAAGAUGGGGAAGAUGAGACAUCAGAAGAUAAGGACAAUGGCAGUAGAGAUGAGGUGCCUGUGUGGGGGUCCUCACCUUUGGUGUUUUACUCGAAUGCAGAGAGUUGGGACACUACAGACACACUGAGCCACCUGAACAGUCGUUGACUUGACAAGCGUGCCAGGUAAUUCUGGUGCUGGGAGCUCUUUUACUGCACACUGAGAAAUUCAUCCUGGAGAAAUCAACACAGCCGUUGACACGUGGGCCUGAGCAGAUCUUGCACUUGCUGACUGUGCAAUGUGACUGUCGCCUCCUGGCCACAGAGGAGACAUCUCUUCAUUGUUGUUCUUCCUCCUCUAGGUUGAUGUCCCUCAGAAAAAUGGUAGGAAGAUUACUACUGCUCCAGGAAAUAAAAUCGAGAAAAAAAAGUUUCUGGCUCCCAUGUUUGCUGAGAAAUUAAUAUCACCAUGCAGGAAGGGAGCCACAGGGGCCAAGGUUCCAAAAGACAGGAGGAGUGCCCUGCUCGAGAACCAUGAGAAGGGACUUGAGAACCCUGAGGAGGAUGAAGAGCCUAUGAAGAAAGCACCUGAUAAACCAGAAGGAGGAAAUGACCAAACAGAAUGCUUCCCCUGAAACCAAAAUUCAGAAAUUAGAAGGUAACUUCUUUGCUGCGUUUUAGAGCACAAGAGACACGUGGAGAGUUUCAUAUUGGCAAAAACCAAAACUCUGUUAGCCUAAAUGAUGGACAAAGGGAUUUUAAUUGCAGCCUGGUGUUACAAUAUGCCAGAUUCUUCAAUGGAAAUUUUUUUUAGCAUCAUUCUUUCUGAACUGUUUCUUUGAGUUCUUUCUCUCUCUCUCUCUCUCUUUUUCUUUGCCUUUUUGUAUGUCAGCUAAACCACCUGUAAGUUUCAAACUAUUUGUUGGAAACCUGAAUUUCAACAAAACUGUUGCUGAACUAAAAACUGGUCUUAGUGAAUUUUUUGCUAAAAAUGACGUCGCAGUCGUUGGUGUCAGAGUUGGCUUGUCCAGGUAAAUACUGAUAAAUUAAGGCUGUUGUUAAGAGUUUAUCAGCCCAACAAUUAUUAUUCUUGUCAGAUCCUUUUGUUACUUGUUCUUCGCCCUUUAUAAGAUAUUACCUCAGCCUCUUGCAGUUCAGAAUGAGUAUUUAAAGUCCUUCAGUGGCUCGUUUAAUAAAUCCAUUAUAUUAAAUUUUGCUAUCCCAUUUUUCCAACCAAAAUACUAAACUAAUCACAAGAUCUUCCAGGUCUUUACAGAAACAUGUUUUCAUGAUUUUCCAACUGUGAGCAAUGUUAUUUGCCUAGAAUUAUUUUAAACGAACACAGAUUUAAUCACAAAACCCCUAGCUUUGGUGGCAAAUAUAGGUUCUGUAUCAGUUCUGCUUUUUUGCCGAAUUGAAUUUCAUCGUUUCUUACUUCUUUCUCAUCAGAAGCAUAUGUCUUGGGUGUAAGCAUGCUUAUUCUAUGGUGCUCAGGAUUUCUCAGGUAGAAAUGAAAAGAUGAUAAUAAUAGUAAACGUUCAUUGAGUGCUCAUUCUACCAGGCGUUGAUCUUUGUUUAUUUAACUCAUUGAAUCCAUAAGACAAUUCUCAGCAGUAAUUAUUGUCAUUAUCCCCAUUUUACAAAGGAGGAAAUUGAGGCACAGAGAAGUUAAGUGACAUGCCGAAUAUCACACAGUUAGAAAGUGGCAGGGUCGGGAUUUGAGCCCAGCAUUCUGGCUCCAGAGGUGAUGCCACAACUUUUGACACAUUGCUCUGCUUACACUUUUCAUUAACUAUAUUGUGAAAUAUUGUUGUGUUUGUAGUAAAUAAACAUUCCUUUUGCAUUAAAAAAAAUUCUUGGGACUUCCCUGGUGGCGCAGUGGUUAAGAAUCCACCGGCCAAUGCAGGGAACACGGGUU